rnacentral:sRNA from 1 species
GAGAGAGAGAGAGAGAGAGAGAGAGAGAGAGAGAGAGCGCACAAACACAAGGUUUUAGGUCUCUCUUUCCUGAAAGCCAUUUAUGCUUUUGCCAUUGCCCACGGGCAACUGAUUUAAUCAGUAUUGUUCAUGUGGAUUAUCUAAACUAUGAAAAGCAACAGGGAGAACUUCCCAAGAAACCCAGCCUGGGUCUGUGUGAAAUGCUUGCUUGGUUUGUGGCCUAGAGCUAAGGAGAAUGAUCACAUUGUACACUGUAUGAAGGGCGCUAGAAAAGAGCUCAGUGCCCCUGCUAUGCUUUGUCUCCAAUUUACUUGAACACGCUAUGUCUCCAGCAUUAGGAAAGCUAGUGAAAAUGCUUGCCUAGAAACUCAUUUCUAGAUUGGAGUGUGGGGAGGGAGCAAACAAGGUAAGGAGGAAGGAGAAGGCAAGAAGGAAGGACUAGCAGUAAGGGAGGAAAAGGGUCCUUCCUGUGAUCUCUGCUCAGUUUACAUAUAAACACGAAAACAUGCGAUUUGGCAGAUUCGAACCCCAUCACCCACACAUUUAGCAAAAGUUUGUCAAAACUAAACCAGAUGCCAUGUCAAUACACUUUAGCUCACAAGUUUGCUCCUUUGCUCCUGGCUGGCUUUUGCCUAAUCUCCUCCAAAGGAAGCUUACUUUUCAGGUCUGUCAUUUGGGGCAGGUAUUCUUAUCUACCUGAGGUUUCGGCCUUUUAUCUCUAAGCACCUGACUGCUUGUUAAGAUGCCGGGUAAUACAGCCACUCCUUCAGCGUCCCAGCACUUACAUAAACCAAACAUUAAUCCAUCCACAAUCCAUCCUGCCUGACUUCUACAACCAUGUGCAGCAGCUUGGGGCCAUCACUUGUGAGGAAACUGAACCUGCUUAGAAUGUAAAUCUGGAACAGGAAGGGCAGCAAUGUAUCAGGUUCUGCAGAGGCCAAUGCUGCUGUCAUACUAUGGACAAGUUUUGUUCAUGGAUGCUGCCUAAAUUGUACUCUACUACCACAGGCCUCUGCCCAGUCACAACAAACUCCGUGGGUACUGCGUGGCUUUGAGCUGCUUCUCCAUCUUAAGUAUCAGGUAGUUACUUAAAAAGAAAACGCCAUUUUUCUCUGAGAAAAUAAAGUGGCUCAUCCUGACACUUAACAGCAAUUUAGUGAUUUUAGAGUCCCUUCUAACUUUACAGUGACUGUUCGUGGGACUUGUGAACUUGAUUUAGACAACCUGAGCAUCGCAGCAGUUCCCUGAGGCUACAUACUCUGUUCACGAGGCCUGAACAAUCUGAGACUUUGAGCUACUAUUUAGUUUGUAGAUGUGCUGGUAAAGUGACCCUCCUGAAAACGAUAAUUAAAGGGAAAAUGAGAAAACUCUCCCUAUGAUUUAGAUAGAACAUAGGAUUAAUGUUGGUAAUGAAGGAUCUAAGAAUCCAUGAAUACAUUAACCCUAAGAAGGAAAUGAGUAACCGUCUAAGUCAGUCAGGACUCUGUACCAUCAGUAUAACAAAUAGCCUAUGGAAAGCCUUAGCACAGACAGAAAUAUGUUUGUAUACAAUUCUUAAAAACAGUGCUGGAAGUAGAUCAUUAAAGGAGACAUCUUACAGACCUUAUACACAUAUGUAUACCCACAUAUACACACACAGUACUGGCCUAAGUCCAGAUUUACUCUUAAGUCAAAUUAAAUUAUCAUCUUCCAGUCAUUUUAUAGUUGCUUCAAAUAUAUGAUGGAGAAGAAUAAAAACAAGAAAACUUGGGUGGCCAUAGUAUUUUUUUUUGUAAUAUCUUAUUUUAAAAAGGCUCAGAGCAAGGGAAGGGUGGACAGUAGAGAGUAAAGAGACAGACCAAUAUCCUCUGCAGUGAGCAAUGGGACAAGUGUUUUCCAACCCCCCCGGACAAACGACUGGUCGGUCCAGUGAGGCUCACACAGCAUGCUUCGCAUGGGAGCAGCCCAACAAAUUUUGCUGAAUAAAUGGAAGAAUCAUGUAGUGCAAGGAAUUACGAACAGGUGUGGGCUGAAUCAAACUUUUCUAGCCACGAAAAAGCUAAACUGGUAUGGACACAGUUUUCAUGUUCCCUGAAAAAAAAAAUGAGGUUUAAGUGCAAAAGAUCAAGAUAUUAAGAGUCAUGAUAGUUACACUUGGAGUCUUAACUAGGACAGGGGCUUGAAGGCCACCAAAGUUUGUAUGCAAAAAGGCAUUUAAAAUUUUGGUCUUCCUUAGAGAAAAUAACAUAAACAAAAGUUACAGUUUUAUAUAUAUACAUCUAAAGCCCUGUGUACUUAUGCUAAAAACAACAACAGGAAACGUAAGAGUACCAUGUUCCUGAAACAUUAGCAGCCCAGGGUCUCUUACAUAGAACAAUCACCAGAGAGUUCAAGCUAAAUCUAAGAGGUUAGUAGAGAACAGGCUAUUCUGCACUAUCUCUUAUAAUUUAGUAUAAGUCAGAUUGUAGGCAUGACUGUUAAUGUUACUUAGCUGAUGCUAUGUUGACAUUACUUGGUAAUAUCCUGUCCUGAGACUUUCAAAACAAGCAUAAUUUCUCUCAGGCGCUGAGCAAACCUGUGACUUUGGGUCUUCACAUUCUGAGCCUAAGGACCAAUCUGUGACUUAGGGUCUUUAUAUUCAUUUAUCCACCUGACCCAGUUUAGUCAUUGCCUCCUCCAGCUCUAUGAGUUUGGUAAGCUUGGUCUGAAUCCUGGAGGCACUGUUAUGUUCCUCUUGCUUCUCAUAUUCUCUGCUUUUCAUUGGAGGUCCUUUCCUACGACCACACACUACAUCUUAAGCCUAUCACCUUCCCUAUCCAUUUGUCUUGAUUCUCUUUUCCUACCUGUAUAUUUUCAGUGAGGGACCUAUUGCCUAUAAAAGCUUUAAUCAUGGGAGAAGGACCAUUGAAACUGGCAAGUCUGCCAUGCCAAAUACUUUGCCUUGAAAAAGUGCAAUGUGCUUUACACAAUUAAGAAAUGCUUUGAUUUCUCCGUGUCCAUAGAAAUAUUAUAAACCACAUUAUUUCAAUGGCAGUACAACAGACUUAUAAAAUAUCCAUUAAACCUUCUGCCUAUAAGUUGUUUCUAAAUAUGGCAUUUCACCAGGAUACAGUGAAUAUUAGCAACUUCUUUUUGUAUGUAGACAGCAAGAAACAAAACCUUUCUUUGCUUAUGAAUACUUGGUUAAAUGAUGAAAGGCUUUACAACCUCUUUCUUACUUGGCAACUGGUUUAGUUUUGAAGAACUCAGUUCAGAAUCUGGGCACAGAGCAUCUGCAAUUCUGUGAUUUCAUAAUGUGAGGGAUUAGUAAGUUGCUGGAAAUGUCUUAAAUGACAGGACUAUUUCUUUACUUCAAGGAAAGAGUAGGCAUUGAAGGGGGUGCUGAGCUCUGUAUACACGGUAAACUGCUGUCCUUUAUCUGAGAAGUUACACUGGCUUCCUAGAAAUAGACAGGUGGGAAAGUUUUUCUUCCCCUUGAUCCAUUUUAUGAGUGGAAAUCCCUUAGAAAGAGGCUCUGCUGAGAAAGAUACCUCUAAACCAUUUCCUGUGAAAAUUAAAAUGAAGUAUCUUCUGGACAGACUGUUCAAAAAAAUUACAGAAAAAUGACUGCUCCUUUGACAUUUUAGUUUACAUAUGAACUUUAUAAAAGUAAAAUAAAGUUAUUUAGUCCUUUAUAGGUGCACUAGAAUUUCCAUCUAUGCUACAAUCAUGCCUCUUGAAAUGUGUACAAAAUGUAAAAUUUCUAGGUUCCUGUUACAUAUAACACACUGUGAAUGAAACUUUUAUAAGAAUGGGUUAUUAUUAUACAUAACUUUAUUAUUUUAUUAGUUGAAUAUAACCAGUAGAUUGAAACAAAAUACUGAUGUGAACCAAAAUUGCAGGUUAUACAAAUAAAACACAGUUGGGGAAAAAUGGAUUUUAUUAGACUAUACUUACCAACCUGUCUAUUCCGUUCCAUUUCAAUUCUGCUAUAGAUAACUUUAACUUUCACCCAAGAAAUUAAAGAACUGAAUGGAACACUAUUUUAUUAAUGCUAAAAAUUAUAAAUAAUCAAGAAGUGAUACUAAUAUUAUAAUGGAUAUUACUUGGAAACAAAAUGCUUGUUAACACUUAUGCUUACAAGAUAGUAUUCAAAUGGUAUUUUAACCACAUUACAGAUCCAGAAAAAUUUUUUUGUGGUUAAGAGUUUUAAAAUGUUACAUGCCCAUUUAUGAAAAAAAUAAUGAAUUUUAGUUUCUUUAUUAUUGAAACCUGGUCCAAGCAUGAAGAAUUCUGAGGGCUUGUGAGAAAGCUCCAAGAAAACUAGUGAAGAGUCUUGUGAUUUCAGGUUCUUCAAGAACAUGGAAUUGUUCUUGGAAGGGGCUUUCAUGUCCCUCCCAGGGGUAGUUAGGAGUGAGUUUGCCUCAGAUUAUUCACUAUAACUGGCUAUUGUUACUGUUUAUGCCCUAUGUAAAACAAGCAAACAAACAAACAUGUUUUUGCCAUGUGCAUCUUGUCUUUGUGAUUAUGUACAAUUUGAACUCAUGAGAAACUUACACCAGUGGCUUCCUGACGCUCAGGCUCACAUUGAUGCUCUGAGGAGAACGGGCUGUUGCGUGAGACGUUAGUCUGCCUCAGUCUUAGGCUCCAUCUGGUCAGGUCCCAUGGCCAGUUAGAGUGGUAAACCAAGUAUUAGCUAUUUUUUUCUUGAAAAAUUAUUAAUGAAUGACAGUAUUAUCUGACAGUUAUAAAGAGUUGAAAUUUAUUCAUUAUGGUUCAAUGAUGUUUGUUAAAAAACAAACAAACCAAAACCCAACCAAACAAAAAAACUUAGAAUCUUUAAACAGACCUGGGAUAUUACAUGAAUCAAUUUAAGGGCAAGCCACACCUUUGAAGUUUAUGCAGUAGUUCCAAGACUACGAGGGCGCCUUUCUCUGAGAGCAUGCUCCUCCCUUCAAUCUAAGCAGUUGGUUAUUUUGCUCAUGUAGUCUUUCGAUAAGUACCUGAUUCAUAGUGCUUGAAAGUUCCCUUCAAGUUCCACUCUUAAAGGACUUAGGAGAUCAAGGGUUGGAGAGAGAUGGCUGGUUAAGAAGCCCCCGCCACUCCUUACAGGUUGAGUGAUUUUGAGCAAGCUACUGAGUCGACAAGUACUGCCUGGUUUCCUGCUGCAGGAAUAGACAGCAUCUGACUCCUGUGAGCGUGACCAAUGUUAAGUUCUGGAGUCUAAGUAUCUUAAUGCAAACGUUAAGCAGGCUUCGUUUUCUUUGCUUGGCAAGUAAUCUCCAGUUUUCCCUUGUAGACACAAACCCCGAAAUCAGUGCAGUGAAGCUCCAUUUGCCUAAUUGCCACCUUCCUGCCUCAAAGCCAAGAUGGAUUUACCUGUUGUUUCACUAUUUCCUAGAUCUCUCUUUAGGGAGGUGCUACUUUAUUUGAGACAGGGAAGUGCUGAGCGGGAAUUUAGUUGCUAAGUCAAUAGCAUUAUGCCAGCUUGGUCUGCUUUUCAGAAAGAUCAUUAUUGUAAGAAGGCCGAUAAAUAAAUAAAAAGUAUAAAAUAUACAUCUGUGACGAAUUCUAGACUCAUUUCUCUAGUGAAAGUCAUUAAAUGAGUCUGGGAAGCACACCUAUGAAAUUGACACUUAAAAAUAUAAGUUAUCACAGUUAUACAGAAGGACUCCUCUUUGUCUCAGUGGAGGAGUACUGACUUUCAUCAGUUCCUAUAAAAUUUUACCUCUACUCAAUUAUAAAUGAACAAAUAAAAAAAUGUGAGUUCCUACAACAAAUAGUCCGCUCAUCUCAGUAGCACAUGCUAACACUCAGGAGCUCUCAGCUCAGAAAUUAUUUUGCUAUUUCCCUUUCCUACAGAUGACAACCGGCAACGUCUGGAGAUAAUUUUGAUGACUGUCACUGACAGUGUUACUGGAAUCUGGUGAGCAGAGGUCAGAACUUGCUCAAUGUCUUAGGAUGUGUACAAUUCCUAUGUACUUCAUCCAAAAUCUCAGCUGUAGUGCUAUGGAGAAAUGUUGCAUGAACCCAAUCUCCCCCAGUCACUGGCCUUAAACUGUAAACCACACGAACAUUUAAAUGCCACCGUCACUGGGACCAGCUGACAUGAAAGCCGUGUAAUGGGCAUCAUGUCUUCACAUGUACAUGUGGACAAAUACAGAACACAGUGCUAAGGAAACUUGGUCAAAAUUCUUUUUCACAUAGCUUUUGGUAACUAUUUGUGCCAAAUGACACAAACAAACAGUUUUAUAGUACUGAGCCGCCCAUGCUAAUAUCCUCUUUUGAAUUCUUCAAGGGAGAAUGUAAAAUCUGAACUCAUAGACUAUGCAACAUUAUCUGUCAUGGAGAUAUUUUAGAGUACUUUAUAAAAAGCAAUGAGUGCAUUUCUAAAAUGUUAGCCCAUGUGAAUUAUGGAAAGUUACAAUUCUGUUUUUUAGGACAGUUUUUUUUUCUCCUAUGCACAGCAUUUUCUCCAUGCAUCACAAACACUUGCUCAAAUUCCACUACUCUGAGGAUGAAGGAAACUUCUGAAGCUACAAGUCUCUGGCCACUUUUUACAAUAGUCAUCUUCAGCCAAGACAGCAAACAUGAGAUCUAUCAGGUGUCAAAAUUUCUUAAGUAAGCAAUGUCUACCCUGGAAACAUAAAACCCAACACUAUUCUCCUACUGAAGAAUGCUGAUAACUUAUGUGAGGAAGAGCAGAUACAAAGAAAACUUGAAAUACCACUUAUUACAAUUAUUAUGCUAAAAUAAAAGUACGACAUUUUCAUUUUUUUCAGAGUUUUCUUGUUAAAGGAGCACCUGUUUUCUGAUAAAAAAGGCUGCCUGAAAUCAAUGUUCAGAGAGGAUUUGCUCAUGGCUACAGUGUGAUUGUUUGCUCAUGGCUACAGUGCUGGCUGUCUUACAGAUUUUCUCUUUUCUGCUUUUGGAUUUCAUGUUGGUUAGUUGUAUCAAGCAAUAAACUGUAUUGAUGACCUGAAGAUUGACUAUUUCUUUUUACUCAGAACUGUGAGACAUUACUUCCUAGGUGGGCACUACAGAGACCAAUAAAUGAGAAAACAGAAACGAAACAACUGGCUUAGCCUAUAAAAAUGAUGAAAAUGCAGUGAUUUUGAGAAGCCAAUAUUAUUUACAUUUUGAUUUCCAUUUAAACUUCUUAUAUGGUGCUCCAAUACACACUCUCCAGAUCUUUUAACGGAAUGUUCUAACAUCAGAGGAUUGGGUAAGGGAACAUGCACAUGCAAUUUAGAAUCACUUGGGAAGAGUGGCAGGAUAGACUGUCCUCAUUUGGCUUUUGGGCUGUCUGCAGGAAUUACCUGGAUUAGUUUGAGUUUAAUUUGGAGGGAAGACCUGCUAACUGUGGGUGGCACCAUUCCUUAGGUAGGGGAUCCUGAGCUGUAUGAAAGUGAAAAGAACCAGCACAGCAGGAACUUGAAUACAUCCAUCUUCUUUUUGCUUUUAACUCUGUAUGUGUGUAGCUGCUUUAGGUUCAGAAUGCCUUUAUUUCCCCACAGUGAUGAACUACAGCCUAAAGCUCUGGUCUCUCUCUCUCUCUCUUUUUUUUCUGGAGCUGGGGACCGAACCUAGGGCCUUGUGCUCACUAGGCAAGCACUCUACCGCUGAGCUAAAUCCCCAACCCCUCUGGUCUCUCUCUUAAGGUGGGCUGACACAUUUUUUUUUAAAUCACAGCAACAGGAAAUCGUUUUAGAUCUCUUGACAGUUCAAUUGUAAAUGUUAAGUGUCUUCUUCUACCAGGAGACCGCCACCAACUAUUAUCUUUGGAGUAAGUCAGAGGGAGAGGGUUAAGGGGAAAAACAAUUAAAAAGAAGGAGCAAUACCAUGGCACUUUGAAAGAUAAAUACUUACAACUUGUUCUAGAGUAGGAGAGGUGAAAUAAUUGAGUACAGAAAUGGGUGGUGGAGGCAAAGACUGGGAAACAGCUGUGUCUCUCGCGUCCUCCACAGCUCUGAGAAAGGCAAUGCUCCAACAGCAAGCAUCCACGCUAGUCUCCUUAUUAGCUCUCCGAUACAGUUGUAAUCCCAUUACCAAGGACUUAAAGGAACUGGUGACAUUUCUUGCUGACCUGUAUUUUAUUGUCUCAAGUACUGCUGGAAAUACCAGGCUCCAUAAAGAGAGGUCUGCUCUGAUGGUCUUUACUGACCAUUAUUAUGUUGGAGUUAGCCUGAACAAACAAAGAUGAAUACCACAUGGAAUCAGCUAAAUUGUUGUUGUUACCAUAAUGGAGAAAUUCAAAAGGAAGCUAUGAAGAGAGCCGUGGAGGUGGCUGGAGAUGCAGACUGAAGUUGUGCUGCCAGACUCCUGAGGAGUCCCUACAUGGCUCAGGCCCCUUCGAGAUCUCACUCAGGCUACAUGCCUGAGUGCAAACAGCACUAUACAUAGCAGGCUGUAACAGCAUCGCCAAUUCUUUACUUACUCUACGACUCAGAACAAUGUCUGUAUACCCCAUGAUUUACUGUGACUCCCAGCAGAGGAUGUGAUCAUGUGUGGGACUAGUACACAUCUCUACCUGUUGGCACUAUGUCUAGGGAAAUAAUCUGACUUGAUUGAUGAAAGGUUAAGCUACAUAAAGAGCAGGGACCUCAGAUACUUUUGUAGGGGACCAAAUUCUAAACUUGCUAAUGGUUUAUCUUCCCAUAAUAACUGUUCAAAGUGAAACUUGUUUUUCAUGAAAGGGUAUAGUUAACAUACCAUAUCAUGUCCUUCUAUACUAAUCUGGGACCAAAAUAAGCCACUGGGAAAGCUCCGGGUCCCAUUUCUGGGGCAUUUCUUAUCCUCCAUCUUUGAUGCCACCUGGAAGGAUGCAUUAGUAUCAAAUAACUGUCUUGAUUACCACACCCUGAUACUCCUGAUUGCCAUUUGCAUUCCAAGCCUGUUUAGUGCUUCCUGAAAAGUAGGUUCUUCCCUGUGGUGACUCAGACAGGGUCAAUCUUAGAUUUCUGUUUGAAGACACCAAGACUUUGCCAUGUCUCAUUCUCUGGCUUCAUGAAAUUUCAGCAAUGUUCAGAAACCCACUGAAUUGACUUGAUACUUCAAACACAACAGAAACUAUUACAAUCACUACCAAUUGACUGGAUUGACAGCCAGCUUUCAUCCAGCUAUGUGAAAAAAUAUUUAGGUUCUCAUACAUUUCCAUUAGUUUACCCAGAGUUAAUUACACAUUCUAGGUUCUAAACUAAAAUAUGUUCUUUCAUUUACUAGAAAUAUAAGAAAACAAGCAUGCAAGUAUAGCUUAGAGUAUAAUAACAGCCCCAUGUUUUAUAUAGAUAUCCUUCAGAAAUUUGUAAUGCCAUAAUACACAGAGGUGAGCAUAAGGGUUUAAGCUGGCUUUGUGAAACAGACCAUGCAUUGGCCAUAAGUCACUGGCUAUAGUGGAAAGGAGAAAAGAUGUUGUGAAUCAAUGGUUACAAGCAAACCAACAAACCCGGGUACACAGCUCAUUUUGGGUCUCUGCCAAAGAACAGUCUGAAACAAGGGUUGAUGUGUAUGUAGUAAUCUGCAUGGUGCUUUCAGAAGGCAGGAUUGAAUGAGUAACUGAGGCUGAAUCAGAGAAGAGGAGGAAGAAGUUUUAUAGUAAAGGUAUGUUAGCAAGGCCACUAGGGUCUAAAUGGGAUGUUACUCCAGAAACAUCCAGACUUGUACAGUGCCUCCAGUGGUGUCCACAUAAAAGAAAUAAGCAUUAAUUUCUACUCCAUGUUUUUUUACUUCAUAGCUGUCUCAUCCUUAGUAAGUCUAGAAUGGACUCACCAAUCUCUUCUAA